rnacentral:rRNA from 1 species
GACGAACGCUGGCGGCGUGCUUAACACAUGCAAGUCGAACGGAAAGGCCCUGCUUGCAGGGUACUCGAGUGGCGAACGGGUGAGUAACACGUGGGUGAUCUGCCCUGCACUUCGGGAUAAGCCGGGGAAACUGGGUCUAAACCCGGUCUGAAGCCAUUUUGGUUUGGAGGGUGGGAAAGUUUUUUGGGUGUGGGUUGAGCGCGCGGCCUAUCAGCUUGUUGGUGGGGUAAUGGCCUACCAAGGCGGCGACGGGUAGCCGGCCUGAGAGGGUGGACGGCCACAUUGGGACUGAGAUACGGCCCAGACUCCUACGGGAGGCAGCAGUGGGGAAUAUUGCACAAUGGGCGCAAGCCUGAUGCAGCGACGCCGCGUGGGGGAUGACGGCCUUCGGGUUGUAAACUCCUUUCGCUAGGGACGAAGCUUUUUGUGACGGUACCUAGAUAAGAAGCACCGGCUAACUACGUG